UACGUAGGGUGCAAGCGUUGUCCGGAAUUAUUGGGCGUAAAGAGCUCGUAGGCGGUUUGUCGCGUCGAAUGUGAAAACCCGGGGCUCAACCCCGGGCCUGCAUUCGAUACGGGCAGACUAGAGUUCGGUAGGGGAGUCUGGAAUUCCUGGUGGAGCGGUGAAAUGCGUAGAGAUCGGAAAGAACACCAACGGCGAAAGCAACUCUGCUGGGCCGACACUGACACUGAGAGACGAAAGCUAGGGGAGCGAAUGGG
rnacentral:rRNA from 1 species